GACGAACGCUGGCGGCGUGCUUAACACAUGCAAGUCGAACGGAAAGGCCCUUCGUGUUUGGCGUGUUGGGAAGGGGUAAGUAAGAGGAAGAUGAUCUGAACCGCACCUCGGGUUUAGGACGGGAUAAGGAAACUAAGACUAAAAACGUAUGGGAGCUGCAUCUCGAGUGGGGGGAAGGGAUAUUUUCGGCGGUUGGGGAUGGAGUCGCGGAUUAUGAUCUUGUUGGUGGGGUAGUGGCUUACCAAGGCGGGGACGGGUAGCCGGCCUGAGAGGGGGACCGGCCACACUGGGACUGAGAUACGGACCAGACUCCUACGGGAGGCAGCAGUGGGGAAUAUUGCACAAUGGGCGCAAGCCUGAUGCAGCGACGCCGCGUGAGGGAUGACGGCCUUCGGGUUGUAAACCGCUUUCGGCUGUGACGAAGCGUGAGUGACGGUACCUGCAGAAGAAGCACCGGCUAACUACGUG
rnacentral:rRNA from 1 species